GAUGAACGCUGGCGGCGUGCCUAAUACAUGCAAGUCGAGCGAAGCGGGGACGGGUGUGUAACAUGUGGAUAACCCCCUAUAAGACUGGGAUAACCUCGGGAAACCGGAGCUAAACCGGAUACUUAUAGAUGGUUCCGGGAUGCAUUAGCUAGUUGGUAAGGUAACGGCUUACCAAGGCCAUGAUGCAUAGUCGACCUGAGAGGGUGAUCGGCCACACUGGAACUGUGACACGGUCCAGAAUCCUACGGGAGGCAGCAUGAGGGAUUCUUCCGCAAUUGGCGAAAGCCUGACGGAGCUACGCCGCGUGUGUGAUGAAGGUCUUCGGGUCGUAAAGCUCUGUUAGUGGGGAAGCGUUACUUAAACAGAAAGCCACGGCUAACUACGUGCCAGCCGCCGCGGUAAUAC
rnacentral:rRNA from 1 species